ACAGAGAACACAGCCUGUGUGGAAAUGACAACAAAAAGUGGAGAAGUCAACAGCGCCCCCUGUGGAGAACUGAGAUUCUACAUCUGCUCCAGCAAAGCUAAAUCAAACGUCAUGUCAGCUACGACGUCAAAUGGAUCAAACCUGGUCCCUGGGUUCAGUCUGUUUGACGUCAUGUUGGACCAGAGCAGUUCGGUGCUGGAGGACAUCCUCCACUGGUCGUCCUUCCUGUCUCAGGUGCGCUCUGGUCGUCUGUCGGAGCGCUGCCUCACCUCCUUCAUCCAACAGGAGGCGCUCUACCUGCACAGAGUCAGCAGCACACUGGAGGUGCUGAUUGGUAACAUUCAUGAAGAGGACCAGGACAUCAGAUCACUGCUGGUGGACGUACAACAGCAGUACAGAACCCAGUACAGAACCCAGUACAGUACCCAGUACAGUACCCAGUACAGUACCCAGGUGCUCCCCUCUGCUCCUCCCUCUCGGUGGCUCCUCCUCUCUCUCCUCUCCUUCCACUCAGUGGUUUUGGACCUCACCCCUCUACCUCCUCACUGCUCUGUCAGCUCGAGCCGCUCUGCACAGCUUCAUCUAUGGAACACUGCUGUCAGCUGGAGAAGGGUCAAAGGUCACCAGCCUGUACCAGCAGUGGACAACAGACGUUGGAAAGGAAACUGUAUUAGCACACAGGUACAAAGAGCUGAUAGAGAAGAAACAACAGGAGAUGGACGUGUACAAAGCCAUUAACGUCUUCAGAGAACACAUGAUGAACCAGAAGGCUCUGCACAAAGCUGUAGACUGUGCUGAAAAGGAUGAAGUUACAGCUGAGGAGAAGGUGGCCCCGCCUCCAUUUGGUCUGAGGAGUCCCCAGUCCUCCAGACCAGAGGACCAGGUCCUGUAAGACCAGACCAGAGGACCAGGUCCUGUAAGACCAGACCUCCAGACCAGAGGACCAGGUCCUGUAAGACCAGACCUCCAGACCAGAGGACCAGGUCCUGUAAGACCAGACCUCCAGACCAGAGGACCAGGUUCUGUAAGACCAGACCAGAGGACCAGGUCCUGUAUGACCAAAAAUGAAGAACAGAAGGAUCAGAAGAAUGGGCUGAAAAUGAGGAGUAAAGGGCUGAUCUUCACAGCUACAGUGCGGAUGCACCUGUGCUUACCAGAUCACUGACACAUGGACUGAGCAGAACAAAUGUGAAGGCAUUUUUUAUCACGUUUUCUCCCUCAAAACAAAAACCAGUUGGUUUCCAUGCUCUUUCCAGUUGAACUGCUCAUCAGUUCUAAUGCCGAAAACUGUUGUUGCAGACACUCUUUCAGUUUCAGUGUCCUUCAUUCUGAUUUGAACUUGUUUGUUAUUUUGUAUGAACUAGGGAUGCACCCAUACCACUGUUUUCCAGACCGGGUACAAGUACUUCCAUUUGAGUAAUUGCAGAUACUGAGUACCGAUCGUAGUCCUUAAUAAUCCCA